UUAGAGAGGGUCUGUGCCUGGAGCUGGAGGGGAGGAUGGUCAGGAGGACAGAGGGUAACACCGAUGGCUCAGUCAUGGGUGGAAAUGCCUCGGCUGAAGGCCCUGAGGGAUCGAAAGAGCACA